UUGAAAAUUCAUGUUUCAACUUCAUGGAUCUCUUGGUGGGUCAAGUUUAGGAAUAUACCAACCUGGAGGACUCCAAGCUGUUGAGCUAUCCAAAA
rnacentral:pre_miRNA from 1 species